AAACAUCAUUUGCUUCUAUUCCCUAUAGACAGAAGUUCAGACUUUGAAGAAUUAUGACAUUUGGAGUUGUAUCAUCAUUCAAAAUGAUAAGCCAUUCAUAAUUAAUUAGUGUGAAACAACUGAAAUACCACCACAAAAAGUAAAUUUAAAUAUGAAACAAUUUGGAAAACUUCAAAAAGAUCCCCAAUAGAAUUGUAGUUUAAGGUACCAACCAUCCAAUUUAACUAUAGAUAUUUGACAAUAAAAUAUUCUGUGGAUAUUCGAGUGCAGCAAGAGGCUGAAACGGGUGAGAAAUUAAAGUUCUUAAACAGGGAUUUUCUGAUAGAAAAACAUAUUAUUUCAUUUGAAGUUUUGAUAUCCAUCUAUCAUCAUAAGAACAUGGAGGUGAAAAAAAGGUAGAAAAUGAUGUUAAACCUUUCUAUAAUCCAAUGGUAGAAAAAGGUUUGCUGUGUAAAAGAGCAACAUAUAAUUCCAGCAUUGGAGCUGGCAAAAUGUUCUAUCAUCCAAUGGAUAGUCAAAGCUUAGUAGAA
rnacentral:misc_RNA from 1 species